rnacentral:lncRNA from 1 species
GCAGUGGGCAUCGUUACCCGGCUCGCUGCUCACAUGCUGCUCUAGCUGCUCGUUGACUAAGAAGAACCGGUUUAAAUCGAACGAUUCGUUCGCGAACCGGUGUUACGAGAUUUUCGGUUUCUGAGAUAUUGGGUUUCAAUUCAAUUCAAUUCGGCCCACUGAAACCGAAAAUCUCGUAACACCGGACAUCACUAAAAGCCACUCCCCUUUAAGACAUCAUCAUCACCGCCACCACUGUCCUCAGCUCGCCGCCCCUGCUGCUCUAGUAAUUGAUGUUAUGGAGAAGAAAGCGAGCGAGGGAUUCACAGUUUAGCCAUACAUUCUCCCAACUAACAUCCUAAAGCAUGAUGGAAAUCCGAAACUCAGGAAUUUAACAUGAAGAGAAUAACGGGGAAGACUAAAGAAGCCACUUUGAUAGAAAUGUCCAACACGCUGGAUUCUCAGAUUGAAGGUAAUAAUGGCAGUAAUAACUCCAUCUCUGACCGAGGGACACAGCUGCCUGGUCAUCGGGAGGUAAGAUGUCAGAUAUUUUCAUCUCAUUUAGAUUAUCUUUUCAGUUUAUG